UUGUGAUUAUUUCUUUGUUUCUUACUAG
rnacentral:piRNA from 1 species